rnacentral:ncRNA from 1 species
AAAAUUCGGGAGAGACUGUAUGCACAGCGCCGAAGGGGUAUAGCCAAAAACUCUCAGGCAAAAGGACCGAAUUUG